rnacentral:rRNA from 1 species
GACGAACGCUGGCGGCGUGCUUAACACAUGCAAGUCGAGCGGUAAGGCCCUUUCGGGGGUACACGAGCGGCGAACGGGUGAGUAACACGUGAGCAAUCUGCCCUUCACACAUGGAUAACUACCGGAAACGGUGGCUAAUACGUGAUGCGACCACUGACCGCAUGGUCUGGUGGUGGAAAGUUCUGGCGGUGGAGGAUGAGCUCGCGGCCUAUCAGCUUGUUGGUGAGGUAAUGGCUCACCAAGGCUUCGACGGGUAGCCGGCCUGAGAGGGUGACCGGCCACACUGGGACUGAGACACGGCCCAGACUCCUACGGGAGGCAGCAGUGGGGAAUAUUGGACAAUGGGCGAAAGCCUGAUCCAGCAACGCCGCGUGAGGGAUGACGGCCUUCGGGUUGUAAACCUCUUUCAGUACCGACGAAGCGUGAGUGACGGUAGGUACAGAAGAAGCACCGGCCAACUACGUGCCAGCAGCCGCCGUAAUAC